GUGACACAUGAUGAUGUGCAUGUUGACAUCACACAUGAAGAAUGGGCUUUAUUGGAUCCUUCACAAAGGAAUCUCUACAAAGAUGUGAUGCUGGAGACAUAUAUGAACCUCACUGCUAUAGGCUACAAUUGGGAAGAUCUUGAAGUUGAAGAACAUUGUCAAAGUUCUCAAAAACAUGGAAGGCAUGAAAAAAGUCUUACUACAGAGAAAUCAUGUGAACGUUAUCAGUGUGGUCAAGCCUUUGCACAUCCUACUCAUCUUCAAGUACAUAAAAGAACACGUACUGGAGAGAA